UACGUAGGGUGCGAGCGUUGUCCGGAAUUACUGGGCGUAAAGAGCUCGUAGGUGGUUUGUCGCGUUGUUCGUGAAAUUCCCUGGCUUAACUGGGGGCGUGCGAGCGAUACGGGCAGACUAGAGUACUGCAGGGGAGACUGGAAUUCCUGGUGUAGCGGUGGAAUGCGCAGAUAUCAGGAGGAACACCGGUGGCGAAGGCGGGUCUCUGGGCAGUAACUGACGCUGAGGAGCGAAAGCGUGGGGAG
rnacentral:rRNA from 1 species